GUUUUGUUUGGGGUUUGUAGUUCUAAAAAUAAAGUUAGUUUUUUUUGACAAGUGGCUCCUGAAUUGUGCCCAGAUAGACUGCGGCAUUUGGUGGCUCGCACGGGAGCGACUGAGGAGAGGAGUCAAGCACAUCUGAUAGGGAAAAGGGACAGAGAAAGGAGACGAUCCCAUAAGAGUGCUGGAGAUUUGGAAAACCAUCCACAUGGAAAAGAAAAAGUCAUUAUCUGGAAAAUGUAAAAGAAUCCUGUGCGAGACCUAGAGAACCCUUUGGGAAAAAGUGGCUAAGCCCAGAGAUUUUUUGGCAAAUAUCUUUGUUAUAGCAUGGAGAAUUCUCUCCAAUCUCUAUCAACAAGAAGAAAGAAUCCGCAGCACAAGACUAUGGUGAAGAGGAACUAAAGGCUUUGUAAAGGGUGAGAAAAGAUAAAACUCUGUAUCUUGUGUUAGGCUUAGAAAUGUCAGAAGCACUUUGAGUUGAAGUUCAUAGUAAAAUGCUUCAGCAGGGAGUUAACAGUUUUUUUUUUUUUAAAGCCAUAUCAAAAACUAGAAGAUAUGUUGGCACUUUUAUACUUUUGAAAAGCAAAAGGGCUUUAAGGUUUAGGAUAGAAAUGAAUAGCAAUAACAAUUUAAUAAACCAAUAAAUUCAUUAAUGCCUUAUAUGAGCCAUACAAAGCAAUUCCUGAGCUUUUAUUAUUUAUAUCAAUAGAUAGAAAUCUUGACACAGAUGUUCAUAUAACCAUAACGGUUUAUAUUUCAGAUAGGUAAAGAUAAAUUCUGUAGUAAAAUAAUUUGUUACAGGGAAUUCAAAUCUCUUCACAGAGAGAUGAAACAGAAAAUCUUCCACAUGUGGUAAAGCACAGUAUUCAACUAAUCUUACCUGGGACCUUGACUUUAGUCUUUGUUGAGAUUUUAAACAUCAUAAAUGUGGCUUCCUUAUAAACAUAGAUGUUGGAUUUACAACAUUGCAUGAAUAAGCAAAAUAAUUUUACAUUUCUCAAAAAGGGGUUUGCAAUUUCCAUGGGAACAGGGAUGGAGUUAUCUUAAAUUCUCUAGAAUGGAAUGGGAUUGAGAGGAUACCAGAAGCUCAGUGAAUGGGUCCUAAAAGACUCCAUAGAUGGUAAAUGGGAUGAAACUUGAAUACAAGGAACAGAAAGGGAGGUCAAAGAAGUUAGACCAUUUCUGUAGAGUAUCUGUCUCUUAAUAAUUAGUCUGUAAAUGUCUGUCUGUUGUAAUGUUGUAGAACAUUAUCUUAAAAAAAAGUAAACAACUUCAGUGAAGGUAGAGGAAGAGAAAGAUAUCAUUAACUACAAAUGGCUUAGCAUUCUCAUAAUCCAAUUCUGGGACCUACAGAAUUGGAAGUUGGCAACCUGCUCAAAGUAACACUGUCUAUGAUUGUCUGUCUUUCUCUGUUAUGGUUUGGAUCUCAAAAUGUGCCCUGAAAAGCUCAUGUUUUGAGAGCAUGAUCCCCAAGACAACAAAGUUCAGAGGUGGAGCUUUUAGGCAAUGAUGAGAGUGGAUUAAUCCAUUUGAUGGAUUAGUAAUUUUAAUGGACAAUUGAGCAGUAACUAUAGGUAGGUGGAACAAGGCUGGAGGAAGUAGGUCACUGGGGGUAUGUGGCCUUGGACAAUAUCUGUCCCUGGCCGCUUUCUCUCUCUCUGCUUCCCAACUGCCAAGAGCUGAGCACAUUUCCUUUACUACACUCUUCCUCCAUGAUGUCAUGCUUCACCUUGGCCCAGAGCAACAGAGUUGUCCAACCAU